UCAUGAUGAAUAUUAAUUAUUAUUAUUAAUUACUCUUUAUUCCACGUUACUCUGCACCCUUCUGUAGUUCCAGUCACAUUGGAAAAUGAAGACGCCUUCAUCAAGACGUUCGAUGCUGGACCUACUUUUGUAUUUAGGAUCUCUGUCCUGAUGAGGAACCCAAUUACACCUCAGCAUCAGCUCAUGGACAGAUGAACUUGAUGAACAAUGGAAUUCAUCAUUAACAAGAUCAAACUCCGUUUCCUCAGCGUGCAGUGCUGAUGUAACAAUGUGUUACGAGCAGACUGAUUUUUAUUAUACCAUCAGCAGGAGUGAGAAAUAU